rnacentral:tRNA from 1 species
GGGGAGAUUCCAGAGCGGCCAAAUGGGACGGACUGUAACUCCGUUGUUGUAAUGACUUCGAAGGUUCGAAUCCUUCUCUCCCCACCA